AUGGCUGUGAGAAUCCUCUCAUUGACAUCAAGUUCUUCAGUCUGUGAAAGGAAUUGGAGUACCUUCGAAAAUAUACAUACGAAGAAAAGAAAUAGGCUAACUACAGAACAUCUAAACUCUCUUGUGUUCAUACAAUUCAACUCGAGAAUGAUGGCCAAGAAACAAAUGGUCAAGGAGAAGAAGAUCACUGAUGUCCUCUUAUCCGCUGAAACUACUGAAGCUCAAGGUUUUCUUUUUGAGGGCGGAUAUGAUUAUGCAGAAGUCAUCUAUAUGGAUAAAGAUGAGGAGGAGAUGAAUAGUACAGGGAUGUCAGGGAGUGGCAUUGGAGAAGCAAUGGGAGGCGAUGAACUGCUCGAGCCACGUAGAAGUGCGAGACCAAGACAACUUUAUGAAGAAGAAGAAUUUGAUUCUGAAGAAGAGGAGUUUCAUGAUGAGGAGGAGAUGCAUUCAGAUGAGGAGUAUGGCUAUUGA
rnacentral:rRNA from 1 species